CGCAUCGAUGGCACCUUCAGCUUCUUCACUUGGAUCAACUCCAAGCUCUCAUAAAAGGAACGCAAAAAUAGAUCCUGGCCUUUUCCACGUGAAACACUGUUAAUUAUGGCAAAGAGUAAAUCUUCAUCUCGUACUCCAAGAGACUCCCGAAUAUGUUCACGCAAAACCCUUUUUGCCACACCAUCUUCAGCAACCUCCAUAAGUUCUUUGCUAUUUCCAAGGUGAACAACAUAGGUCUCAGGCAUUUUAAUCCUCAAACGUUCUUGAGUCCUAUUUUUCCAAUAUUGUGCUGUCACAUGUGAAUCAAUCAUAGCACCAGCAACCAAAGGCAAGUGCUUGACAUAGUCCAAUUUAAAAUAAUGUCCUCGCAUUUCAUGAAUCCACCACAACACUUUUGAGAGAACAUGAGGAAUGUUUUCCUUCAGAACAGCAUCUAGCCAUUUCCCAGCAACAGCCGUAUUCAAAACAACCAUAUCGGCUUUAAGAGCAGUACCUAUAGCUUCUUGGCCUUUUGCAGACAAGACCUGCACUCCUCGGACUAGCAUCUUUUGCUCUAA
rnacentral:misc_RNA from 1 species